AGAGUUUGAUCAUGGCUCAGGACGAACGCUGGCGGCGUGCUUAACACAUGCAAGUCGAGCGGUAAGGCCCUUCGGGGUACACGAGCGGCGAACGGGUGAGUAACACGUGAGCAAUCUGCCCUUCACUUUGGGAUAACCACCGGAAACGGUGGCUAAUACCGGAUAUGACCGCCUUGGGCAUCUGGGGUGGUGGAAAGUUCUGGCGGUGAGGAUGAGCUCGCGGCCUAUCAGCUUGUUGGUGGGGUAAUGGCCUACCAAGGCGACGACGGGUAGCCGGCCUGAGAGGGUGACCGGCCACACUGGGACUGAGACACGGCCCAGACUCCUACGGGAGGCAGCAGUGGGGAAUAUUGGACAAUGGGCGGAAGCCUGAUCCAGCAACGCCGCGUGAGGGAUGACGGCCUUCGGGUUGUAAACCUCUUUCAGUACCGACGAAGCGGAAGUGACGGUAGGUACAGAAGAAGCACCGGCCACUACGUGCCAGCAGCCGCGGUAAUACGUAGGUGCGAGCGUUGUCCGGAAUUAUUGGGGCGUAAAGGGCCUCCGUAGCGUUUGUCCCCGUAGGAGUGAAACUCGGGGCUUAACUCCGAGCCUGCUUCUGAUACGGGCAGACUAGAGGUAUGCAGGGAGAACGGAAUUCCUGGUGUAGCGGGUGAAAUGCGCAGAUAUCAGGAGGAACACCGGUGGCGAAGGGCGGUUCUCUGGGCAUUACCUGACGCUGAGGAGCGAAAGUGUGGGGAGCGAACAGGAUUAGAUACCCUGGUAGUCCACACCGUAAACGUUGGGCGCUAGGUGUGGGACUCAUUUCCACGAGUUCCGUGCCGCAGCUAACGCAUUAAGCGCCCCGCCUGGGGAGUACGGCCGCAAGGCUAAAACUCAAAGGAAUUGACGGGGGCCCGC
rnacentral:rRNA from 1 species